rnacentral:misc_RNA from 1 species
GGUCAUCUCAGGUGAAAAUGGCUUAUUUUAUAUUUAUUUUAUCUUUGUUAAUGGAUUUGAAAUUAAGAAUGGCAACAAUUUACUGGAAAAUGCAAAUUAUAUUCCUCAUGCACAAUUGUAAUAUUACAUUUGAGAUCAAUUUUUAUUAGAAUAUUGAUGUAAAUAUUGUACAACAAACAACACAAGGUUUUAGAGAAGAAUAUUAAAACCAAUGGGAUGUUGAUGAAUUGUACCUCUGGAUCUUGUUUUUGAGCUACAUUGUAAAUCAUGUUCUGUGAAUGUCAGGAGUUUUGUUUUAUUUGUUGCAAUGUUUCAAAAUACGAAUGUUUUAACAGUUACUUUAAAAAUUUAGUCUGUGGGUUUUCUGUGAAACCGAUCGAGUCAUCAAAUGUUUAAUGGAUUCUUCAUGCAAUAAAAUGAUAAACAUUUU